rnacentral:lncRNA from 1 species
AAGAAAUAACGCUGUAUUUUGCUUUCCUCUUCUCCAGAAUGAGCAUCGCAAAUGAUCCAUGAGCCUAUGAGUUAUAAAAAUUCAGAUUCUCCAACCUAGCCAUUUGACAGAUAAAGAAACUGAGGGCCGAGAUGAAUGGGUGGCUGAAAAGCCUGCUAGAUAGCAGAUCUAAAACCCAGACUUUGAACAUCCAGUCUUCUCAUUCAAUUGUUCCUCCAUCACACUGUCCCCUAACCCUAUAAUUAGGGAUUUAGCCCCUGACAGUAUAAUGAGUUGGAAGAGCAAUAGUAAAAGCCUUAAGAAGAUACAAGCACUUUACAGUACUGUUGACUCUUUUUUUUUUUUUUGAGACGGAGUUUCGCUCUUGUUACCCAGACUGGAGUGCAAUGGCGCGAUCUCAGCUCACCGCAACCUCCGCCUCCUGGAUUCAGGUAAUUCUCCUGCUUCAGCCUCCGGAGUAGCUGGGAUUACAGGCACGCACCACCGUGCCCAGCUUUUUUUUUUUUUUUUUUUUUUUUUUUUUUUUUGUAUUUUUAGUAGAGAUGGGGUUUCACCAUGUGACAAGGAUGGUCUCGAUCUCCUGACCUCGUGAUCCACCCGCCUCGGCCUCCCAAAGUGCUGGGAUUACAGGCGUGAGCCAUCGCGCCCCGCCCAGUACUGUUGACUCUUGAACAACAUGGGUUUGUACUGUGCAAGUCCACUUAUAUGUGAAUUGUGGAUUUUCUUCUGUCUGCCACAGGUGAGACAGCAAGACCAACUCAUCCUCUCUCUCCUCCUCCUCCUCAGCCUAUUUAACAUGAAGAUGAGGAGGAUGAAGACUUUAUGAUGGUCCACUUCCCUUUAACAAAUGCUCACCCCCUCUUGAGGAAUCUGACAAAUUCAGGAGGUGAGACCAGAAUUGUGACUACUACCUGCAAAAGCAUCCCUCCCUGCCAAUCCCCCACCAGCAGCCCAAACAAGAUUGGACAUUUUGAGCCUCUCCUCAAGGUAAGUUCCUUGUCCCUCAAGGAAACCACCUAGUGAGUGAAUUGCUUAUACAUCUUAGCAUAAAGCUGAAGGGCCAGACUGGUGGCUCACACCUGUAAUUCCAGCAUUUGGGAGGCCGAGGUGGGUGGGUCACGAGAUCAAAAGAUCAAGAGUAUCCUGAUCAACAUGGUGAAACCCCAUCUCUACUGAAAAUACAAAAAAAAACAUUAGCUGGGUUUGGUGGGACACACCUGUAGUCCCAGCUACUUGGGAGGCUGAGCCAGGAGAAUCAGUUGAACCUGGGAGGUGGAGGUUGCAGUGAGCCAAGAUCAUGCCACUGCACUCCAGCCUGGCAAUGGAGCGAGACUCAGUCUCAAAAAAAAAAGCUGAAGCCACAGCCUAAUCUCUCCAAUGGAGUCAUGGUCUGCCCCAGAAAACUCAUCAAACUCCCAAAACCCAUGACAUUAGUGCCCUGCAGUUCACCUACCCCACCACCACUCUCUCUGCACCC